rnacentral:ncRNA from 1 species
GAUUGUAAACUUUCUCUCUGCAAUCGCGGCUG